GCUGGGUGGAUUAGUGGCGAACGGGUGAGUAACACGUGAGUAACCUGCCCACCACUCUGGGAUAACUCCGGGAAACCGGUGCUAAUACUGGAUAUGACUCCAACUCGCAUGGGUAUGGGGUGGAAAGAUUUAUCGGUGGUGGAUGGACUCGCGGCCUAUCAGCUUGUUGGUGGGGUAAUGGCCUACCAAGGCGACGACGGGUAGCCGGCCUGAGAGGGUGACCGGCCACACUGGGACUGAGACACGGCCCAGACUCCUACGGGAGGCAGCAGUGGGGAAUAUUGCACAAUGGGCGAAAGCCUGAUGCAGCGACGCCGCGUGCGGGAUGACGGCCUUCGGGUUGUAAACCGCUUUCAGCUCUGACGAAGCUUUUGUGACGGUAGGAGCAGAAGAAGCACCGGCUAACUACGUGCCAGCAGCCGCGGUAAUACGUAGGGUGCGAGCGUUGUCCGGAAUUAUUGGGCGUAAAGAGCUUGUAGGCGGCUUGUCGCGUCUGCUGUGAAAACCCGGGGCUUAACCCCGGGCUUGCAGUGGGUACGGGCAGGCUAGAGUGUGGUAGGGGAGACUGGAAUUCCUGGUGUAGCGGUGGAAUGCGCAGA
rnacentral:rRNA from 1 species